AGUAACAGUACCGCGGUGCAGUUGGUGCGUCGUAAAAAACCGCAGAGGAAUUUUACCGUAUUUCAAUUUUGACAUCACUUGACGACCGGGAAUACUUUUAUACAAACGUUUUUACGUUAAUGGAAGAAGUGGAUAAUUAAUUCCGCGGUACCCGUUAGACGAGAUUAAAGAUUCUUAACAAUAUAUCUCUACAAUAUUUCAGCAAUAUUGAUAUGUAAUUAAAGCUACGCGAUGAUGAUUAAAGCUCUCACGAACGAAAGGUAAUUCCCUUAGAUAAUAGGUAAUAGAUCGGUAUUCUCGCAUAAUCAGCUAACGCAUAAACAUUUUCUCACACGUCAGGUCGAGAUUCUGCAGUAAAUCAAUCAGUUAGAAGUUUACGACAGUUUGGAAGGGCAUGAAGUCGCCGCAUGCCUGUCGGAGGCUCCUGGACACCCGGUAUAUUGUUGCAGAAUUUUUCGGGACUUCCGACAGAGGGCGACAUCUUCUCUCGCCUUUCUCGCUAGUGGCGAACCCUCCGUGCAGUUCGUAUAUAAGACAGAUCAGGAGAAUAGUUUAACGUGGUCCGAUGCUUCUCAGGUAAGGUUAACGAUCAGGCUCGUAACACGCAUCAUGAGUGGCGGCUUCUCUGCAUGUGUUGUGUAAAUACCCGUUAACAGGGGGGAAGUCCCCCCUUGAUUAGCGGGCCCCACUCACACAUCGCGAGGAGUCUCCUCUUCUCGCACCCUCCACAGCCACAGUUAAUUGUGCUGCGUUUCUCCAAGUGGUGUUAAAUGCACCGUCAAUAACAGUUGAUGCUGUGUUUGUUCUCUCCCUGAAAUGUGUCUCUCGAAAGUUAGGGUUAAUCGUAUCACCAUUCACUGUAGAAGCGACUUUGACUGCUUU